AUACUUACCUGGAGGGGGAGACACCAUGAUCACAAAGGUAGUUUUCCCAAGGCAAAACAUGUCCAUUGCACUCCAGAUGUCGUGAACUCUAGGAUUUCCCAAAUGUGGGAAAGUGGACUGCAUAAUUUGUAAUAGAAGGGGACUGCUUUCACCCUUUCCCCUC